GAUGAACGCUGGCGGCGUGCCUAAUACAUGCAAGUCGAGCGAACGGACGAGAAGCUUGCUUCUCUGAUGUUAGCGGCGGACGGGUGAGUAACACGUGGAUACCCUACCUAUAAGACUGGGAUAACUUCGGGAAACCGGAGCUAAUACCGGAUGAUAUUUUGAACCGCAUGGUUCAAAAGUGAAAGACGGUCUUGCUGUCACUUAUAGAUGGAUCCGCGCUGCAUUAGCUAGUUGGUAAGGUAACGGCUUACCAAGGCAACGAUGCAUAGCCGACCUGAGAGGGUGAUCGGCCACACUGGAACUGAGACACGGUCCAGACUCCUACGGGAGGCAGCAGUAGGGAAUCUUCCGCAAUGGGCGAAAGCCUGGCGGAGCAACGCCGCGUGAGUGAUGAAGGUCUUCGGAUCGUAAAACUCUGUUAUUAGGGAAGAACAUAUGUGUAAGUAACUGUGCACAUCUUGACGGUACCUAAUCAGAAAGCCACGGCUAACUACGUG
rnacentral:rRNA from 1 species